UACAGAGGUCUCAAGCGUUGUUCGGAUUCAUUGGGCGUAAAGGGUGCGUAGGCGGCGCGGUAAGUCGGGUGUGAAAUCUCGGGGCUUAACUCCGAAACUGCAUUCGAUACUGCCGUGCUUGAGGACUGGAGAGGAGACUGGAAUUUACGGUGUAGGCAGGUGAAAUGCGUAGAUAUCGUAAGGAAGACCAGUGGCGAAGGCGGGUCAUCUGGACAGUUCCUGACGCUGAGGCACGAAGGCCAGGGGAGCAAACGGG
rnacentral:rRNA from 1 species